rnacentral:rRNA from 1 species
UUUAUGGAGAGUUUGAUCCUGGCUCAGGAUGAACGCUGGCGGCGUGCCUAAUACAUGCAAGUCGAGCGAACGGACGAGAAGCUUGCUUCUCUGAUGUUAGCGGCGGACGGGUGAGUAACACGUGGAUAACCUACCUAUAAGACUGGGAUAACUUCGGGAAACCGGAGCUAAUACCGGAUAAUAUUUUGAACCGCAUGGUUCAAAAGUGAAAGACGGUCUUGCUGUCACUUAUAGAUGGAUCCGCGCUGCAUUAGCUAGUUGGUAAGGUAACGGCUUACCAAGGCAACGAUGCAUAGCCGACCUGAGAGGGUGAUCGGCCACACUGGAACUGAGACACGGUCCAGACUCCUACGGGAGGCAGCAGUAGGGAAUCUUCCGCAAUGGGCGAAAGCCUGACGGAGCAACGCCGCGUGAGUGAUGAAGGUCUUCGGAUCGUAAAACUCUGUUAUUAGGGAAGAACAUAUGUGUAAGUAACUGUGCACAUCUUGACGGUACCUAAUCAGAAAGCCACGGCUAACUACGUGCCAGCAGCCGCGGUAAUACGUAGGUGGCAAGCGUUAUCCGGAAUUAUUGGGCGUAAAGCGCGCGUAGGCGGUUUUUUAAGUCUGAUGUGAAAGCCCACGGCUCAACCGUGGAGGGUCAUUGGAAACUGGAAAACUUGAGUGCAGAAGAGGAAAGUGGAAUUCCAUGUGUAGCGGUGAAAUGCGCAGAGAUAUGGAGGAACACCAGUGGCGAAGGCGACUUUCUGGUCUGUAACUGACGCUGAUGUGCGAAAGCGUGGGGAUCAAACAGGAUUAGAUACCCUGGUAGUCCACGCCGUAAACGAUGAGUGCUAAGUGUUAGGGGGUUUCCGCCCCUUAGUGCUGCAGCUAACGCAUUAAGCACUCCGCCUGGGGAGUACGACCGCAAGGUUGAAACUCAAAGGAAUUGACGGGGACCCGCACAAGCGGUGGAGCAUGUGGUUUAAUUCGAAGCAACGCGAAGAACCUUACCAAAUCUUGACAUCCUUUGACAACUCUAGAGAUAGAGCUUUCCCCUUCGGGGACAAAGUGACAGGUGGUGCAUGGUUGUCGUCAGCUCGUGUCGUGAGAUGUUGGGUUAAGUCCCGCAACGAGCGCAACCCUUAAGCUUAGUUGCCAUCAUUAAGUUGGGCACUCUAAGUUGACUGCCGGUGACAAACCGGAGGAAGGUGGGGAUGACGUCAAAUCAUCAUGCCCCUUAUGAUUUGGGCUACACACGUGCUACAAUGGACAAUACAAAGGGCAGCGAAACCGUGAGGUCAAGCAAAUCCCAUAAAGUUGUUCUCAGUUCGGAUUGUAGUCUGCAACUCGACUACAUGAAGCUGGAAUCGCUAGUAAUCGUAGAUCAGCAUGCUACGGUGAAUACGUUCCCGGGUCUUGUACACACCGCCCGUCACACCACGAGAGUUUGUAACACCCGAAGCCGGUGGAGUAACCUUUUAGGAGCUAGCCGUCGAAGGUGGGACAAAUGAUUGGGGUGAAGUCGUAACAAGGUAGCCGUAUCGGAAGGUGCGGCUGGAUCACCUCCUUUCU